CUAUAUAUUACAUGGACUGCCAACUCUACGCACUAAGCCUAUAUUUUUCAAUAAACAAGUCCCGUUCACGGAGGCGUCCUUAGUUUCGUGGUAAAUUGACUUCCGGUAGAUUUUUUUUUUACGUAUAAAGAAACCAUUCCCGAAGAUUUUUACCACCACUUUUACAGCAAAUUAUGAAUGGAAACUGAAUUGUUAUAGAAGAUGUUACAGAGGAGCAUACUACUUCCACAAACCUGAUUUGAUUGUCAAUAACUUUAAAAUUGAAAGGGAUCUACUACAACUGCUCAUGAAUUUCGAGAUUUUACAGCUAAUAGAGGAACAAAUUUUAUCUGCUUCCACUUAGCCAAACAGCAUGGAAAUGUGCUAUUGUAAUGAGUAGAAGAUAUUUGUCAUUUAGAGUAUCAUGCAACAGCUAAUUAUCAGUCCACACAUUUCAAGAUGAGGAAAAGAACAGUAUAAGCUACAUUCAUUGAUGCAUUAUUUAUACAAAAAUGUAUAGUCAACCCAGUCAUCACUCCAUUUGUUUAUGAAGCCAGUUACAGUUACCAUGAAGGGAUGAAAUUUCAGAUAAUAUUCUGUUUAUUUGAUGAAAUGAGAAUAGGCCUACAUCAGAAAUUGAAAUGGUCAUCUUCAGUAUUUAAUGUUUCAUCUUAAAAUGAUAAUUAUAUUAAUACAUAUUUGAUGUACAAACAAAUGAAAACCAUUCAAACACUUUUUUUUUGUGAAGUAUAGAUGAUUAAACUUGUAAGUGUCUGAACAAUA